rnacentral:rRNA from 1 species
AGACGAAUCAUCUGGAAAGAUGAAUCAAAGAAGGUAAUAAUCCUGUAGUCGAAAAUGUUGUCUCUCUUGAGUGGAUCCUGAGUACGACGGAGCACGUGAAAUUCCGUCGGAAUCUGGGAGGACCAUCUCCUAAGGCUAAAUACUCUCUAGUGACCGAUAGUGAACCAGUACCGUGAGGGAAAGGUGAAAAGCACCCCGGAAGGGGAGUGAAAUAGAACCUGAAACCGUGUGCUUACAAGUAGUCAGAGCCCGUUAAUGGGUGAUGGCGUGCCUUUUGUAGAAUGAACCGGCGAGUUACGAUUUGAUGCAAGGUUAAGCAGUAAAUGUGGAGCCGUAGCGAAAGCGAGUCUGAAUAGGGCGUUUAGUAUUUGGUCGUAGACCCGAAACCAGGUGAUCUACCCUUGGUCAGGUUGAAGUUCAGGUAACACUGAAUGGAGGACCGAACCGACUUACGUUGAAAAGUGAGCGGAUGAACUGAGGGUAGCGGAGAAAUUCCAAUCGAACCUGGAGAUAGCUGGUUCUCUCCGAAAUAGCUUUAGGGCUAGCCUCAAGUGAUGAUUAUUGGAGGUAGAGCACUGUUUGGACGAGGGGCCCCUCUCGGGUUACCGAAUUCAGACAAACUCCGAAUGCCAAUUAAUUUAACUUGGGAGUC